GCCUUUCAAAGCCAAGCACCGAACCAAAAUGGACGGAGUGGCCCACAAGCACCUCUUACUCUUCUGUGCCGCGCCCUGCAUCCUGUCAGCUUGCACGAGCAUCCUCUCUUCCACCUCUCCCCUCCCCUGGAAAUGCCAAUUCUCCCACCCAGCUCUCAGAAAACAAAUGCAGGGAAGAGAGCAACCCCGUGGCCGGCUGAUGACACCCCAGUCUCUGUCUCCCCAUCGGACGCUCACAUAAUCUAUGCCUGAGACACAGCAUCCAGACUGACCAUCAAAAUCACCGCAUUCAAAGACGCAUACCCAGCGGACUGCUGUUCUUUCCCCUCAUGGAGUCCAGCAGAUUCCACGGAAACUGACAGGUUUCUGUCCCUCCAUCUAAAGAUUCUGCUUAGAAA